rnacentral:rRNA from 1 species
UAGAGUUUGAUCCUGGCUCAGAUUGAACGCUGGCGGCAUGCUUUACACAUGCAAGUCGAACGGCAGCGCGGGCUUCGGCCUGGCGGCGAGUGGCGAACGGGUGAGUAAUACAUCGGAACGUACCCAGAAGUGGGGGAUAACGUAGCGAAAGUUACGCUAAUACCGCAUACGAUCUACGGAUGAAAGUGGGGGAUCGCAAGACCUCAUGCUUUUGGAGCGGCCGAUGUCUGAUUAGCUAGUUGGUGAGGUAAAGGCUCACCAAGGCGACGAUCAGUAGCUGGUCUGAGAGGACGACCAGCCACACUGGAACUGAGACACGGUCCAGACUCCUACGGGAGGCAGCAGUGGGGAAUUUUGGACAAUGGGGGCAACCCUGAUCCAGCAAUGCCGCGUGAGUGAAGAAGGCCUUCGGGUUGUAAAGCUCUUUUGUCAGGGAAGAAACGGCUGUGGCUAAUAUCCACGGCUAAUGACGGUACCUGAAGAAUAAGCACCGGCUAACUACGUGCCAGCAGCCGCGGUAAUACGUAGGGUGCAAGCGUUAAUCGGAAUUACUGGGCGUAAAGCGUGCGCAGGCGGUUUUGUAAGUCUGACGUGAAAUCCCCGGGCUUAACCUGGGAAUUGCGUUGGAGACUGCAAGGCUGGAAUCUGGCAGAGGGGGGUAGAAUUCCACGUGUAGCAGUGAAAUGCGUAGAGAUGUGGAGGAACACCGAUGGCGAAGGCAGCCCCCUGGGCUAAGAUUGACGCUCAUGCACGAAAGCGUGGGGAGC